AUUGAACGCUGGCGGCAUGCCUUACACAUGCAAGUCGAACGGCAGCACGGGAGCUUGCUCCUGGUGGCGAGUGGCGAACGGGUGAGUAAUACAUCGGAACGUACCCAGGAGUGGGGGAUAACGUAGCGAAAGUUACGCUAAUACCGCAUAUUCUGUGAGCAGGAAAGCGGGGGAUCGCAAGACCUCGCGACCUUUGAGCGGCCGAUGUCGGAUUAGCUAGUUGGUGAGGUAAAAGCUCACCAAGGCGACGAUCCGUAGCAGGUCGGAGAGGAUGAUCUGCCACACUGGGACUGAGACACGGCCCAGACUCCUACGGGAGGCAGCAGUGGGGAAUUUUGGACAAUGGGGGCAACCCUGAUCCAGCCAUGCCGCGUGAGUGAAGAAGGCCUUCGGGUUGUAAAGCACUUUUGUCCGGAAAGAAAUCCAAUCGCUUAAUACUCGGUUGGGAUGACGGUACCGGAAGAAUAAGCACCGGCUAACUUCGUGCCAGCAGCCGCCGUAAGAC
rnacentral:rRNA from 1 species